UAAUACGUAGGGUGCAAGCGUUAAUCGGAAUUACUGGGCGUAAAGCGUGCGCAGGCGGUCUCGUAAGCCAGACGUGAAAUCCCCGGGCUUAACCUGGGAACUGCGUUUGGGACUGCGAGGCUGGAGUGUGGCAGAGGGAGGUGGAAUUCCACAUGUAGCAGUGAAAUGCGUAGAUAUGUGGAGGAACACCGAUGGCGAAGGCAGCCUCCUGGGCUAACACUGACGCUCAUGCACGAAAGCGUGGGGAGCAAACAGGAUUAGAUACCCUGGUAGUCCACGCCCUAAACUAUGGCGACUAGUUGUUGGGGAUUUAACAUCCUUAGUAACGAAGCUAACGCGUGAAGUCGCCCGCCUGGGGAGUACGGUCGCAAGAUUAAAACUUAAAUGAAUUGACGG
rnacentral:rRNA from 1 species